CUCAGGAUGAACGCUGGCGGCGUGCUUAACACAUGCAAGUCGAACGGUGAACACGGAGCUUGCUCUGUGGGAUCAGUGGCGAACGGGUGAGUAACACGUGAGCAACCUGCCCCUGACUCUGGGAUAAGCGCUGGAAACGGCGUCUAAUACUGGAUAUGUGACGUGACCGCAUGGUCUGCGUUUGGAAAGAUUUUUCGGUUGGGGAGGGGCUCGCGGCCUAUCAGCUUGUUGGUGAGGUAAUGGCUCACCAAGGCGUCGACGGGUAGCCGGCCUGAGAGGGUGACCGGCCACACUGGGACUGAGACACGGCCCAGACUCCUACGGGAGGCAGCAGUGGGGAAUAUUGCACAAUGGGCGAAAGCCUGAUGCAGCAACGCCGCGUGAGGGAUGACGGCCUUCGGGUUGUAAACCUCUUUUAGCAGGGAAGAAGCGAAAGUGACGGUACCUGCAGAAAAAGCGCCGGCUAACUACGUGCCAGCAGCCGCGGUAAUACGUAGGGCGCAAGCGUUAUCCGGAAUUAUUGGGCGUAAAGAGCUCGUAGGCGGUUUGUCGCGUCUGCUGUGAAAUCCCGAGGCUCAACCUCGGGCCUGCAGUGGGUACGGGCAGACUAGAGUGCGGUAGGGGAGAUUGGAAUUCCUGGUGUAGCGGUGGAAUGCGCAGAUAUCAGGAGGAACACCGAUGGCGAAGGCAGAUCUCUGGGCCGUAACUGACGCUGAGGAGCGAAAGGGUGGGGAGCAAACAGGCUUAGAUACCCUGGUAGUCCACCCCGUAAACGUUGGGAACUAGUUGUGGGGUCCAUUCCACGGAUUCCGUGACGCAGCUAACGCAUUAAGUUCCCCGCCUGGGGAGUACGGCCGCAAGGCUAAAACUCAAAGGAAUUGACGGGGACCCGCACAAGCGGCGGAGCAUGCGGAUUAAUUCGAUGCAACGCGAAGAACCUUACCAAGGCUUG
rnacentral:rRNA from 1 species